rnacentral:rRNA from 1 species
CCCUUAGAUGUUCUGAACCGCACGCGUGUUACACUGAUGCAUUCAACGAGCUCUACCUUGGCCGAGAGGCCUGGGAAAUCUUUUUAGCAUGCAUCGUGAUAGGGAUUGAUUAUUGCAAUUAUUAAUCAUGAACGAGGAAUUCCUAGUAAACGCAUUUCAUCAAAAUGCAUUGAUUACGUCCCUGCCCUUUGUACACACCGCCCGUCGCACCUACCGAUUGAGUGGUCCGGUGAAGUCUCGAGAUUGUGGCAAUCUCCUUUAUUGGAGUUUGACUGCGAGAACUUGCCUAAACCUUAUCACUUAGAGGAAGGUGAAGUCGUAACA